UACGGAGGGUGCGAGCGUUAAUCGGAAUUACUGGGCGUAAAGCGCAUGUAGGCGGUUUGGUAAGUCGGAUGUGAAAUCCCUGGGCUUAACCUGGGAAUGGCAUUCGAUACUGCCAGGCUAGAGUAGGAUAGAGGAGAGGGGAAUUCCGCGUGUAGCAGUGAAAUGCGUAGAUAUGUGGAGGAACACCAAUGGCGAAGGCACCUCUCUGGGUCCAUACUGACGCUGAGAUGCGAAAGCGUGGGGAGCAAACAGG
rnacentral:rRNA from 1 species